CAGAGGAAGACAAAGGAGGAACGGGAGCAGCUUGGGGAGUGUCUCGUUUGUUGAGCGUUUGAACCAGAAGAGGAUGCUGCUCUCUCACUCAUGAAGAGACGAGAGUUGUGUUCCCCGGCUGGGGCUGAUGGAGGAGCUCACUGUGUCUGAGCUCGGAAAGACUUUGUCUCACAAUGAUAGGACGAGCGGAAAGAAGGGAAAAUCCAUCACGGCAAACUGUUUGUGCUUCUGGUUGGGCUGGGCCCUAGAAGGGAGUGUGGGAGGCGUUUAGAAGCUUCACGUUUCUCACAUUGUUGCCCAAGGACACUUUGAGGUGAAAUGUUCGCAUGAUCCUCCGGACUAGGUUUAAACGUUGUAAUGAGCAGGUGGAAGGAUCCGCUGUUCAGAUCGCUGUUGCUCUGGUGAGAGACUGGAGCCCAGACACCGGAGACUGAACUGAAACGGCUGGUCAACGGUGUGUACGUGUAUUUGAAGCACAUGCAUUCAGAAUUGCCCUGAAUCACAUCAAGAGCGACAAGUGCUUGUACUUUUCUGACGGGCAGAACAGAGGGGAGAGAAACAGCAGCUCUGUGCUCUGCACCUCUGGACGUUGUGCUGCAUUUGUGGUCACUCUGUAUGAUUGAGUUGCAUAAUAUAUAUAACUGUUCACACUCAAGCUUCACUUGAGCUGUGUACAAACUCGAGGGCUGGAUCCUCCAUGUCAUCAUUGAGAGGAACAUUAAGGCAAUAUUUGUCAACUCAUAAAGUUUGGAAAUAUCACGUGAUAUCAUUUUUUUUUUUUUACCAGGCUUUGCUUUCAGGUAGAUCAACCUGUGAUCCAAACAAACACUGCCACGCGUCAGAUAUGAACCUAUGACUUCCAUUACUGUGUAAAAAGACUUGUAAGAAUGUGACUUAUAUGCUAUUUGCUGUACUUUUUCGCCAGUUGACCAUCACUUGCCAAACAUCCACCCUUGCCCCCUGCAUUUUUUGUCUAUUCUAAGAAACAAUAUUUGACUUUAUGUGUCAAUGAGAAGUGCUUGCAUGAACACUUUCCUGCUUCAGAGGCCACAGGCCACGUACAGCCCCGGCUGCAGCCCAGCUAUUGAUCAGGAAGUGAUUAGUCGACUUGAUCACGCAUUCUAGAAAUGUAAUAGCCUCUCCAGAAACAUUUAGUGGAAACGCUGUACAUGCAUCAUCAUAUGAUCAAAAUGAUUAUACAGCCGUUUCGAUUAAGAAGAAAAUCAAUCAGUCUGAGACAGUGAAAAAGAGAAAUGGUCCUCUGCACUACUUGGAAAAUAAAAUACAUGGCAACUCAUGAUUAAAUUUACUACGGAA